rnacentral:rRNA from 1 species
UGGGGAAUUUUGGACAAUGGGCGAAAGCCUGAUCCAGCAAUGCCGCGUGUGUGAAGAAGGCCUUCGGGUUGUAAAGCACUUUUGUCCGGAAAGAAAUCCUUGGCUCUAAUACAGUCGGGGGAUGACGGUACCGGAAGAAUAAGCACCGGCUAACUACGUGCCAGCAGCCGCGGUAAUACGUAGGGUGCAAGCGUUAAUCGGAAUUACUGGGCGUAAAGCGUGCGCAGGCGGUUUGCUAAGACCGAUGUGAAAUCCCCGGGCUCAACCUGGGAACUGCAUUGGUGACUGGCAGGCUAGAGUAUGGCAGAGGGGGGUAGAAUUCCACGUGUAGCAGUGAAAUGCGUAGAGAUGUGGAGGAAUACCGAUGGCGAAGGCAGCCCCCCUGGGCCAAUACUGACGCUCAUGCACGAAAAGCGUGGGGGAGCAAAACAGGAUUAGAUACCCCUGGUAGUCCACGCCCUAAAACGAUGUCAACUAGUUGUUGGGGAUUCAUUUCCUUAGUAACGUAGCUAACGCGUGAAGUUGACCGCCUGGGGAGUACGGUCGCAAGAUUAAAACUCAAAUGAAUUGACGGGGUCAUAGCUGUUU